rnacentral:rRNA from 1 species
AUUGAACGCUGGCGGCAUGCCUUACACAUGCAAGUCGAACGGUAACAGGGAGCUUGCUCCGCUGACGAGUGGCGAACGGGUGAGUAAUGUAUCGGAACGUACCAUUCAGUGGGGGAUAACGUAGCGAAAGUUACGCUAAUACCGCAUAUUCUGUGAGCAGGAAAGCAGGGGAUCGCAAGACCUUGCGCUGAUUGAGCGGCCGAUAUCAGAUUAGCUAGUUGGUGAGGUAAAGGCUCACCAAGGCGACGAUCUGUAGCGGGUCUGAGAGGAUGAUCCGCCACACUGGAACUGAGACACGGUCCAAACUCCUACGGGAGGCAGCAGUAAGGAGUUUUCGGCAAUGGGGGAAACCCUGACCGAGCAACGCCGCGUGAGUGAUGACGGCCCUAUGGGUUGUAAAGCUCUGUUAUAAGGGACGAACAGCUUUGCGAGGAAAUGCGCAGAGUCUGACGGUACUUUAUCAGAAAGCCACGGCUAACU